rnacentral:rRNA from 1 species
UACGGAGGGUGCAAGCGUUGUUCGGAUUGACUGGGCGUAAAGGGCGUGUAGGCGGUUGCCCAAGUCCGAUGUGAAAGCCCGAGGCUUAGCCUCGGAAGUGCAUCGGAAACUAGGCAGCUGGAGCGCGAUAGAGGAGGGUAGAAUUCCUGGUGUAGCGGUGAAAUGCGUAGAUAUCAGGAGGAAUACCGGCGGCGAAGGCGGCCCUCUGGAUCGUUGCUGACGCUGAGACGCGAAAGCGUGGGGAGCAAACAGG